rnacentral:rRNA from 1 species
GUGAGGAAUAUUGCGCAAUGGAGGCAACUCUGACGCAGCCAUGCCGCGUGCAGGAAGAAGGCGCUACGCGUUGUAAACUGCUUUUAACCGGGAAGAAACCCCAGGACGUGUCCUGGGUUGACGGUACCGGAGGAAUAAGCACCGGCUAACUUCGUGCCAGCAGCCGCGGUAAUACGAAGGGUGCAAGCGUUAUCCGGAUUCAUUGGGUUUAAGGGGUGCGUAGGCGGAGCGUUAAGUCAGUGGUGAAAUCCUGCAGCUUAACUGUAGACUUGCCAUUGAUACUGGCGCUCUUGAGUGCGCUUGAAGUGGGCGGAAUGUGCCGUGUAGCGGUGAAAUGCUUAGAUAUGGCACAGAACACCAAUUGCGAAGGCAGCUCACUAAGGCGAUACUGACGCUGAGGCACGAAAGCGUGGGGAUCGAACAGGAUUAGAUACCCUUGUAGUCC